AUUCUGAUAGGCUGAUUCGUGUCUCACACUUCCUGCACUGUGAGGGUGUGAUUUCAAAGAAACACUGAGGAGGAGGAGCAGCUGCUCAACAGUCCAACCAGGAAACAAGAAGAGAAGAACUGAUUGCAUACCCCUGCUGUAGAUGGUAAAAACGGUUCAGACUCAACUUCCAGUCGACUGUCAGAGAAGGAGGAGCAGCCUGACUGAAGAUGAGUGAUGUGGGUGAAGAGGAGGACAGAGCAGAGUCUGUGGACAGGGAAGAGACGCCAGCUGCUCCUGCAGAGUCCAGGUACAGAAUCCACAAAGACACCAGACACAAGAAGAGAUGCAGCUCUCAGUGUUUCU